GGCCGACAGUCGGAAUUUCAUCUCCACCAACGGUCGGUCAUCUUCUCUGGAGAAGACGACGACACUGUUCCCAGACAGUUUUGCUUCUUUAAUCCUGGAGCGCACAAACUGUAUUGCUUCUUUAUGGCAAAAUCAGACUUAUAAUCGCCUGAAACUUCAUCUUCCCAGACAGUUUUGUGAGCUUCCAUAUUUCCCAUUCCCAAAAGACUUCCAAGAGUACCCUACAAAAUACAAGUUUAUCCAGUACCUCGAGUGCGGUUUCAGAUCAGCCCAAGAUUCAACGAGACAGUGCAGUCCGCUAAGUACGAUGAAAGCUGCGGGUUUUGGCGAAUCAAGACGGUGCCGGGUGAUUGUUUUGUGAGUGAGUACAUCUGCCGGUGGCUGGUGGCGGCGAGCGGCGAAAACGCCGAGAAAUUUGCGCCGGAAUUUGAGGCGAUAAGGGUUUUCGGUGGCCCUGUCAUGCAUGCUUGUGAGUAUAAAUUGGGAGAGGAUUAUGAAGGGAAACGUGUUCUGGUAAUUGGGUGCAGAAAUUCCGGCAUGGAAGUUUCCUUGGAUCUUUGCCACACAAUGCAAUCCCAUCAAUGGUGGAUUGGUGGUUCGCAGCUCAGCAACAGUGCGGUGGAGAAGACGACCAGCCGUUGGUUGGGGAUGAAAUUUCAGCCGCCGACUGCCGGAAUCUUGGUCGGAAAAAUUAUGACCGGCCGGUCAUAUGGGUUUAAAUGACCCAAAACUACAAGUUGGUGUGUUUAAUUGAAUUUUUUGAAUCUUCAUUUUUGGGUAAUGUUUGAGGA